rnacentral:rRNA from 1 species
CGAGACCUCAGGUCAGACGGGGCUACCCGCUGAGUUUAAGCAUAUCAAUAAGCGGAGGAAAAGAAACUAACAGGAUUCCCUUAGU